ACGUAGGAGGCGAGCGUUAUCCGGAAUUACUGGGCGUAAAGCGCACGCAGGCGGUUUGUUAAGCAAGACGUGAAAUCCCCGGGCUUAACCUGGGAAUGGCGUUUUGAACUGGCAGUCUAGAGUGCGUCAGAGGGGGGUGGAAUUCCACGUGUAGCAGUGAGAUGCGUAGAGAUGUGGAGGAACACCGAUGGCGGAGGCAGCCCCCUGGGAUGACACUGACGCUCAUGUACGAAAGCGUGGGUAGCAAACAG
rnacentral:rRNA from 1 species